CUCUCCACGGUCCACGGUCCACGCCGCCGUCCACCACCUCCACGUAGCGCAAUGCCCAAGACCAGGUCGGCGGCGACGCCCCACCCCUCCGCCACCGCCACCGCCACCGCCACCACCACCGCCAGGAUCUCCUUCCGCUCCCGCAAGAUCGUCAAGACUCCACCCGCCAAAGUCAAACCCCUCGCCGCGGCCACUGUGCCGCCACAGGCGCCGCCCGCUCCGGUGCUGCCCGCGCUGUCGGCCCCGGGCGAGCUCGCGGCCGCGCUGCGCCACCUCGCCGCGGCCGACCCGCUCCUCUCCGAAGUCAUCGCCUCCACCGACGCGCCCGCCUUCAUCUCCACCUCCUCCCUCCCGUGCUCCAUCCUCUACCAGCAGCUCGCCACCUCCUCCACCGCCGCCAUCUACGCCCGCUUCCUCCCCUCCGACGCCGACGGAUCCGUGAGCCCCGCGGCCAUGCUGGCCUUCGCCGUUGCCAACCUCCGCGCCAUCGGCGUCUCGGGCCGCAAGGCCGCCUACCUCCACGAUCUGGCCGCCAGUUUCGCGGCCGGGUACCUCUCCGAGUCCUCCGUCGCCGCCAUGGACGAGGACGCUCUCCUCGCCCAGCUCACCAGGGUGAAGGGCAUCGGCGAGUGGACGGUUCACAUGUUCAUGAUCUUCUCGCUGCACCGCCCCGACGUGCUGCCGUCCGGCGACCUCGGCGUGCGCAAGGGCGUGCAGGAGCUGUACAAGCUCAAGGCGCUGCCCAAGCCGGAGGAGAUGGCCGCAUUGUGCGAGCGGUGGCGCCCGUACCGGUCUGUCGGCGCCUGGUACAUGUGGCGCCUCUUGGAGAGAGCAAGGGCACCGCAGCAAAGGCGGCGAAGAAGGGCAAAGCGAGUUCCUAGCUAGGUAUGUGUCAUCUAUGUGUGAUGGUGAUGCUAGUGUGUAUUUUGUUGUAGUCAAGCUGUUAAAUUUAGAUGGCAAUGUGGCAGAUGCUGCCUGGAUUAGUGAAGUGUGACUUGUGUGUCUAUGUGCACAUUAUGUUGCUAAUAUGGUUGUAUCUUGAUCAAGGCCUGAUCUUGAUGUGCCUGUCCUGCCUUGUUAUCAAUAAAAUUUGGUUUCAUCC